rnacentral:rRNA from 1 species
CGGCUCAGUAACACGUGGAUAACCUACCCUUGAGACGGGGAUAAACCCGGGAAACUGGGUAUAAUACCCGAUAGAUCUCGACUGCUGGAAUGCAUCGAGCUUGAAAGCUCCGGCGCUCAAGGAUGGGUCUGCGGCCUAUCAGGUAGUAGUGGGUGUAGCGUACCUACUAGCCUACGACGGGUACGGGUUGUGAGAGCAAGAGCCCGGAGAUGGAUUCUGAGACACGAAUCCAGGCCCUACGGGGUGCAGCAGGCGCGAAAACUUUACAAUGCUGGAAACAGCGAUAAGGGGACCUCGAGUGCCAGGUUACAAAUCUGGCUGUCGUGAUGCCUAAAAAGCAUUGCAUAGCAAGGGCCGGGCAAGACCGGUGCCAGCCGCCGCGGUAACACCGGCGGCUCGAGUGGUAACCGUUAUUAUUGGGUCUAAAGGGUCUGUAGCCGGCCGGAUAAGUCUCUUGGGAAAUCUGGCAGCUUAACUGUCAGGCUUUCACGAGAUACUGUCUGGCUCGAGGCCGGGAGAGGUGAGAGGUACUUCAGGGGUAAGGGUGAAAUCUUGUAAUCCUU